AACGAACGCUGGCGGCAGGCCUAACACAUGCAAGUCGAACGGACGUAGCAAUCCGUUAGCGGCGCACGGGAGAGUAACACGUGGGAACACAUCUUUUGCUUCGGGUUAACGUCGGGAAACUGACGCUAAUACCGGAUAAGCCCUAGGUGGGAGAGAUUUAUUGCCAAAGGAUGGGCGCGCGUUAGAUUGGCUAGUUGGUGAGGUAAUGGCUCACCAAGGCUACGAUCUAUAGCUGGUCUGAGAGGAUGACCAGCCUCACUGGGACUGAGACACGGCCCAGACUCCUACGGGAGGCAGGAGUGGGGAAUAUUGGACAAUGGGGGCAACCCUGAUCCAGCCAUGCCGCGUAAAUGAUGAAGGCCUUCGGGUUGUAAAGUUCUUUUGGUAGGGGCGAUAAUGACGGUACCUACAGAAUAAGCUCCGGCUAACUUCGUGCCAGCAGCCGCAGUAA
rnacentral:rRNA from 1 species